GCUGAGGCUAUCUACAACACACCAGGGCCUGUGCUGCUGGCUGAAGCAAUCUACAACACACCAGGGCCUGUGCUGCUGGCUUACGCUAUCUACAACACACCACGGCCUGUGCUGCUGGCUGAGGCUAUCUACAACACACCAGGGCCUGUGCUGCUGGCUGAGGCUAUCUACAACACACCAGGGCCUCUGCUGCUGGCUCAGGCCAUCUACAACAUACCAGGGCCGUUACUGCUGGCUAAGGCUAUCUACAACUGAAGAGGGAAUGUGCUGCUGGCUGAGGCUAUCUACAACACACCAGGCCCUCUGCUUGUGGCUAAUGCUAUCUACAACACACCAGGGCCUGUGCUGCUGGCUGAGGCACACUUAUUUCCGUCUAUGAUCGUCUGACACUACUUUCUAUUCGCUCCUCUAUGGUGGGCCUGGAUAUUGCUCCUUCAUACAAUGGCUUCUUCCCUCCUCCGCCGCCGGUGUCUGGAUUUAUGACAGAUGUCGCCAAAAGCACCCUUUUGGGUCCACUCAAAUCUCGGAGGAGGAGAGGUAAAAGAGCAGGUGUCCAGGUGAAAUUUAGACUCCUCUUCAGACGAGGAUUAGCGGGUAUGCGACGUCAAGCAUUUCUGGUUACCUGUGCUCAGAUUGCCUGUUUGGAGGAGAAUCUGUUUCCCCCUUCCCUGCUGGAUUGUGCAAAGCCUGGACUUAUGAGAUCGUGUUUCCUUAGGAAUGUUCAUCCAGACUCUCCUAUUAUUUGGCCCGCUGCCCCAGCAGCGAGCGGUAUUUAUGAUCGUUACGGAUCGAACCCCCAGUUUCUACGCCCCCUAAAACAAC
ensembl:lncRNA